CCUACGGGAGGCAGCAGUGAGGAAUAUUGGUCAAUGGGCGGAAGCCUGAACCAGCCAAGUCGCGUGCGGGAUGAAGGCCCUACGGGUCGUAAACCGCUUUUGCACGGGGAUAACACCCUCCACUUGUGGAGGCCUGCAGGUACCGUGCGAAUAAGGAUCGGCUAAAUCCGUGCCAGCAGCCGCGGUAAUACGGAAGGCCCGAGCGUUAUCCGGAUUUAUUGGGUUUAAAGGGUGCGAAGGCGGGCGUGCAAGUCAGCGGUAAAAUCGAGCGGCUCAACCGCGCCCCGCAGUUGAAACUGGGCGCCUUGAGUGGGCGACAGGCAGGCGGAAUUCGUGGUGUAGCGGUGAAAUGCAUAGAUAUCACGAAGAACCCCGAUUGCGAAGGCAGCCUGCCGGGGUGCGACUGACGCUGAGGCUCGAAGGUGCGGGUAUCAAACAGGAUUAGAUACCCUUGUAGUC
rnacentral:rRNA from 1 species